CGACAAUGUGCGUUGCUGCGGUCGCAGAAAGACGGAGGGUGCAAGCUGUAAUCGGAAUAACUGGGCGUAAAGCGUACGCAGGCGGUUAGAUAAGUCAGAUGUGACAUCCCCGGGCUCAACCUGGGAACUGCAUUUGAAACUGUCUGACUAGAGUCUUGUAGAGGGGGGUAGAAGUCCAGGUGUAGCGGUGAAAUGCGUAGAGAUCUGGAGGAAUACCGGUGGCGAAGGCGGCCCCCUGGACAAAGACUGACGCUCAGGUGCGAAAGCGUGGGGAGCAAACAGGAUUAGAACCCCGGUAGUC
rnacentral:rRNA from 1 species